UACAGAGGUCUCAAGCGUUGUUCGGAUUCAUUGGGCGUAAAGGGUGCGUAGGUGGCGGGGCAAGUCGGAUGUGAAAUCUCAGGGCUCAACCCUGAAACUGCAUUCGAUACUGCCUUGCUCGAGGACUGGAGAGGAGAUUGGAAUUCACGGUGUAGCAGUGAAAUGCGUAGAUAUCGUGAGGAAGACCAGUGGCGAAGGCGGAUCUCUGGACAGUUCCUGACACUGAGGCACGAAGGCCAGGGGAGCAAACGGG
rnacentral:rRNA from 1 species